UGGAAAUGAUGAAAUAGAGAUAAUUGGGUGUUGAAUGUUGUGUGAUUGGAAAAUUUUAAUGUGUGAGUUAAGUAAACUUUAUAGAUAAUUGUGUGUGUGUGUGUAUGUGUGUGUCCUCGCUCAUGGAGGCUAUUGAAAGGGAGCACUGAUUGGUGAUGCUGAUAUUGGAGUGCAUCUGAGGCUGUUGUAGAAAUAGACGGGCUGUUGAUUACAACAUUGCCGAUGAUUAUAACCCAAGAACAGCUCACCUAAGUAGCCUAGCACCCUACAAUCUCUAACAGGUUCAUUAAACAUGGUCCUGUGAUCUGAUCCAA